UACGAGGGGGGCAAAUGUUGUUCGGAAUCACUGGGCGUAAAGGGUGCGUAGGCGGGUCUUUAAGUCAGGGGUGAAAUCCUGGAGCUCAACUCCAGAACUGCCUUUGAUACUGAAGAUCUUGAGUUCGGGAGAGGUGAGUGGAACUGCGAGUGUAGAGGUGAAAUUCGUAGAUAUUCGCAAGAACACCAGUGGCGAAGGCGGCUCACUGGCCCGGUACUGACGCUGAGGCACGAAAGCGUGGGGAGCAAACAGG
rnacentral:rRNA from 1 species